rnacentral:rRNA from 1 species
AGUUUGAUCCUGGCUCAGGAUGAACGCUGGCGGCGUGCCUAAUACAUGCAAGUCGAACGAAUCUCUUCGGAGAUGAGUGGCGAACGGGUGAGUAAUACAUAGGUAACCUGCCCCUGUGCGGGGGAUAACAGGAGGAAACUCCUGCUAAUACCGCAUAGCCAUGAGCACCGCAUGGAGCUCAUGCCAAAUAUCCUUUCGGGGAUAGCGCAGGGAUGGACCUAUGGCGCAUUAGCUUGUUGGCGGGGCAACGGCCCACCAAGGCAACGAUGCGUAGCCGGCCUGAGAGGGCGGACGGCCACAUUGGGACUGAGACACGGCCCAGACUCCUACGGGAGGCAGCAGUAGGGAAUUUUCGGCAAUGGGGGAAACCCUGACCGAGCAACGCCGCGUGAGCGAAGAAGGCCUUCGGGUCGUAAAGCUCUGUUGUAAAGGAAGAACGGCGCAUACAGGAAAUGGUAUGCGAGUGACGGUACUUUACCAGAAAGCCACGGCUAACUACGUGCCAGCAGCCGCGGUAAUACGUAGGUGGCGAGCGUUAUCCGGAAUCAUUGGGCGUAAAGAGGGAGCAGGCGGCCGCAAGGGUCUGUGGUGAAAGACCGAAGCUAAACUUCGGUAAGCCAUGGAAACCGGGCGGCUAGAGUGCGGAAGGGGAUCGUGGAAUUCCAUGUGUAGCGGUGAAAUGCGUAGAUAUAUGGAGGAACACCAGUGGCGAAGGCGACGGUCUGGGCCGCAACUGACGCUCAUUCCCGAAAGCGUGGGGAGCAAAUAGGAUUAGAUACCCUAGUAGUCCACGCCGUAAACGAUGGUCACUAAGUGUCGGGGGUCAAACCCCGGUGCUGCAGUCAACGCAAUAAGUGACCCGCCUGAGUAGUACGUUCGCAAGAAUGAAACUCAAAGGAAUUGACG